UCUUGUGGCCAGGCGGCGCUGCCCCUCGGGUGGCACCGGGCUCGCAGCGCUCGCCAGAAUCACAGAGUCCCAGCAAACGCUGUGUGGACCUGACAAAAAGUUCCUGUUGAGUUGUUGGCUACUGCUGUGCCUCUUGUCACCUGGCUGGAGCCACAGGUGCUGUUUGUAUGCAAUGGAUCGGUGCCAAUUCACAAGCUCUUAAGUCUUGCAGUGGUCGUCUGUCAAUUACAACAACGUUUUCCUCCGGCAGAGCCGUUCUGGCUUAGCUCUGCCUACCAUCUCCUGGGCAGCGGGGCAGCGGUGCCCCGAGGCCACUCCCAGCACACAGCCGGGCUGCAGGCAGGCCACCGCCAGAGCUGCAGAUACGAGAUCUCGGUGUCAGCGCACGUGGUGACAUGUACUUGCAGAAACUAAAGACCCCAAACCACCGUAGUGAUGCCUGCUCCCAGUUACUUUGCUAAUGAGACACUGAAAAAACGACUAAAGAAGCUAUCAGUGUCAUGGAUAGAGUUUGUUAAAGUGUAAUGCUGUUAAUUAUGUAAUGCUGUUCUCAAUACUGUACACUUAUCUGUUUUCUAUAUAAUGUUAAGAGCUGAUGGGUUGUUGUUGAAGUUAUGACUUACCUGUUUUAUCUUUCUGUAUUCUGAAACCCAGAUCCUUGUAACCCUUUCCCUCGCGUCGGGUACUCCUGCCGCUGCUCCCCGAGAAGGUUUCCGGGUUCCCAAGAUGCCUCGCGAAGAGUGCAUAUUAAUUAUCAUAUCUCCGGAAUUACUAAAAUCUGGAUUAUCCCUAGAAAGCGAGCCCAGGACUACAGAUUACCGGUGCCCAUGGGUCGGGGACAGUCCCUGGUAGCAGGAAGAGGGCAUAAAAACAUUCCGGGUUGGUCACUACAACUUAGAAGAAGCCUAAAGAGGAUCACCUCCUAAGACUGUGAGCCGAUUGACGAGUCUCGGACGUGUUCUGAAGAAGGUGGAGGCUUCUGACCCUGCCGGUAUCCGACAGGAUCGAGGGAGCAGCGGUGGCGUCGCGAACCCCGAGCCCCCUACCCCUUAAGCUGAAAUCUCCUAAUAAAGGCCUGCUUAGUUGGA